rnacentral:piRNA from 1 species
UCUGACCUACCGUGCUGCCUGUCCUUU